ACCAUCAGAGCAUGAUCAUGUUGGUGACCCAUGUGUGGUAUGUGCGUUAUACGCCAUAUUUACUGCUCUGAGCAUGGCUUCUACUGAGAUGCGAAGAGAGGCUGUUGCUCCUACUACUUUGAGAAUUGCCCUCAGCAACCUUUAUCCCGAUAGUAAUUUCUUCCAGGAGGUAAAGUUGAAACUCUGUAGAGCACCCUCAUAUAUUUCUAGGAGACGGCUUCUUUGAAUUUAAUUAACAAAAUAUUGACUUACAGGCUCAAAUGAAUGAUGCUUCAGAAGUACUGAGUGUGAUAUUUGAUUGCCUACAUCGGUCAUUUAUAUCAACCUCAGGUUUUAUAUGACAUAUUUUCUGCUCUGAGCAUAGCUUCUACUGAGAUGCAAAGAGAGGCUGUUGCUCCUACUACUUUGAGAAUUGCACUCAGCAACCUUUAUCCCGAUAGUAAUUUCUUCCAGGAGGUAAAUAUGAAACUCUAUUGAGCGCCCUCAUAUAUUUCUAGGAGACAGCUUCUUUGAUUUCAAUUAACAAAAUAUUGACUUACAGGCUCAAAUGAAUGAUGCUUCUGAA
rnacentral:lncRNA from 1 species